UACGUAGGGGGCAAGCGUUGUCCGGAUUUAUUGGGCGUAAAGAGCGUGUAGGCGGCUGGGUAGGUCCGUUGUGAAAACUCGAGGCUCAACCUCGAGACGCCGAUGGAAACCCUCCAGCUAGAGUCCGGAAGAGGAGAGUGGAAUUCCUGGUGUAGCGGUGAAAUGCGCAGAUAUCAGGAAGAACACCGGUGGCGAAGGCGGGUCUCUGGGCAGUAACUGACGCUGAGGAGCGAAAGCGUGGGGAGCGAACAGG
rnacentral:rRNA from 1 species